CCGCCUGACAGUGAAUGUCAAUGUUUCCCUUAAUUGCUUCCAGUCAGUGUAUUUGUUGCUUGCUUAUGAAUUAACUUGCAUUUAUGGGAACCUAUUUAGCAGCCAUCAUUUAAUUACACCUUAGUAGAGGCUGAACUUUAAUUGGUUGGGCUUCCUAACGACUAAUCCUAAAGUCAAUGAGGACUGGGGAGUACUGCACCAAAGCUCAGAGACCACCCUGCUGCCACAACUUGGCAAAGCCUCGUCCUGGACAGAGAGAAGAAUUUGACCUUCCUGCUGAAGGAGCUGGAUUCACUCAGAGAUCUCCAAUAAGAAGGCUGGAGAAUAUUAACCCUGAAGGAAGUGAUAUGGUAAGCCCCCCCCCUUGCCCCCCUAGGAGCUCAUGUGGGCUCACAUUUCUCUCACCAGAAUUUCCUCAAUUAAAAGGUAUCAGGAAACAAAGGAACAAAGGACAGCUAAGCACAUUUCAACACUAUGAUUAUUUUAAGGAGGUUGAUAUUAUCUCCUUAAAAAAAAAGAUUAAAAGAAAGAUAUUGCUAUUACUAAUAUUCAGAUCUAUCCUAUACACGUGCAC
rnacentral:lncRNA from 1 species